rnacentral:rRNA from 1 species
GGGUUGUGAGGUUAAGCGACCAAGCGUACACGGUGGAUGCCCUGGCAGUCAGAGGCGAUGAAGGACGUGCUAAUCUGCGAAAAGCGCCGGUAAGGUGAUAUGAACCGUUAUAACCGGCGAUGUCCGAAUGGGGAAACCCAGUGUGUUUCGACACACUAUCGUUAACUGAAUCCAUAGGUUAACGAGGCGAACCGGGGGAACUGAAACAUCUAAGUACCCCGAGGAAAAGAAAUCAACCGAGAUUCCCCCAGUAGCGGCGAGCGAACGGGGAGGAGCCCAGAGCCUGAAUCAGCAUGUGUGUUAGUGGAAGCGUCUGGAAAGGCGCGCGAUACAGGGUGACAGCCCCGUACACAAAAGCGCACGUGCUGUGAGCUCGAUGAGUAGGGCGGGACACGUGGUAUCCUGUCUGAAUAUGGGGGGACCAUCCUCCAAGGCUAAAUACUCCUGACUGACCGAUAGUGAACCAGUACCGUGAGGGAAAGGCGAAAAGAACCCCGGCGAGGGGAGUGAAACAGAACCUGAAACCGUGUACGUACAAGCAGUGGGAGCACAGGUUUACCUGUGUGACUGCGUACCUUUUGUAUAAUGGGUCAGCGACUUAUAUUCUGUAGCAAGGUUAACCGAAUAGGGGAGCCGGAGGGAAACCGAGUCUUAAC